AUACUUACCUGGCAGGUGAGAUACCAUGAUCACGAAGGUAGUUCUCCCAGGGCGAGGCUUAUCCAUUACAUUCCAGAUGUGCUGACCCCUGCAAUUUCCCCAAAUGUGGGAAACUCAACUGCAUAAUUUGUGGUAGUGGGGGACUGUGUUCUCACACUCCCCUA
rnacentral:snRNA from 1 species